rnacentral:lncRNA from 10 species
CUACCCUGGCAGGAAGACACGUACCCGUGAAGAUAGAGAAAGAGGCCAUCCAGGUCAGUCUCAUUGAAAAGAAAGAUGUCUACAUCAUUGAGAAGAAAAAGAAGCCCAAUGUGGAUUCAGCACAAUUAACACGGAGUACUUGUCAAGGCACAGACACUGCAGGAAUAAAUUGUAGGCUGCAUUUCUGGUCUUAGGACUCAGUCAAAUGGGACAUACAAGCCAUGCAAGCCAACAGCAUAAUUGAAGACAAGGUGUUGGAAAAACAAUAUGAACAAGUUUUUAUAGGAUCAAAGGAAAGAAAGAAUUCGACUGGAUCUGAGGAGUACAAGAAUAUUCCAGAAUUGGGGAAUAAAUAGGAGAGAUCAACAGAAAGGCCAUUUGAAUCAGAACCAGCAGGCAGGAAGUAUGAAACCAUCUAGCAGCCUGUUCUGUAAGGACAAAAGAUCAUUAAAUAGGCAAAUUGCAGAAAGCCAGGGAUAGUAUGGUUUAGCUUUCUUUAAUUCCUCUUUGUUGAGUUUCCCAUUGUCUUAGAAAUUAUUCAGGAGGUAAGACCUACUGGUGUAUGGCACAGCAGGAAUAUCAGGCCUAUUAAUCACAAUCAAGUCUCUAAUGCUUGUAUUAAUAAAUCAUGUUUAAUGUAGAAUAAUUUCUGAAAAUAAUGCCACAGAUCAAUAAAUAAAUCUCUAAGAAAAGCUGAAGUUCCCAGGGUCAUAUCUGAGAACUUGAGGCCAGGGG